ACGCUCGACACCUACGGGAGCAGCAGUGAGGAAUAUUGGUCAAUGGACGCAAGUCUGAACCAGCCAUGCCGCGUGCAGGAUGACGGCUCUAUGAGUUGUAAACUGCUUUUGUACGAGGGUAAACGCAGAUACGUGUAUCUGUCUGAAAGUAUCGUACGAAUAAGGAUCGGCUAACUCCGUGCCAGUAGCCGCGGUAAUCUGAGCGGGCUGGCAAGGC
rnacentral:rRNA from 1 species